rnacentral:rRNA from 1 species
GAUGAACGCUAGCUACAGGCUUAACACAUGCAAGUCGAGGGGAAACGAUAGGGAAAGCUUGCUCUUUCUAGGCGUCGACCGGCGCACGGGUGAGUAACGCGUAUCCAACCUGCCCAUCACUUGGGGAUAACCUUGCGAAAGUAAGACUAAUACCCAAUGACGUCUCUAGAAGACAUCUGAAGGAGAUUAAAGAUUUAUCGGUGAUGGAUGGGGAUGCGUCUGAUUAGCUUGUUGGCGGGGUAACGGCCCACCAAGGCGACGAUCAGUAGGGGUUCUGAGAGGAAGGUCCCCCAGAUUGGGACUGAGACACGGUCCAAACUCCUACGGGAGGCAGCAGUGAGGAAUAUUGGUCAAUGGACGAGAGUCUGAACCAGCCAAGUAGCGUGCAGGAAGGCGGCCCUAUGGGUUGUAAACUGCUUUUAUAAGGGAAUAAAGUGAGUCUCGUGAGACUUUUUGCAUGUACCUUAUGAAUAAGGACCGGCUAAUUCCGUGCCAGCCGCCGCCGUAA